AGAGUUUGAUCCUGGCUCAGAUUGAACGCUGGCGGCAUGCUUUACACAUGCAAGUCGAACGGCAGCAUAGAGAGCUUGCUCUCUGAUGGCGAGUGGCGAACGGGUGAGUAAUACAUCGGAACGUGUCCGUUUGUGGGGGACAACCACCCGAAAGGGUGGCUAAUACCGCAUAAGACCUGAGGGUGAAAGCCGGGGACCGCAAGGCCUGGCGCGAACGGAGCGGCCGAUGACUGAUUAGCUGGUUGGCGGGGUAACGGCCCACCAAGGCGACGAUCAGUAGCUGGUCUGAGAGGACGACCAGCCACACUGGAACUGAGACACGGUCCAGACUCCUACGGGAGGCAGCAGUGGGGAAUUUUGGACAAUGGGGGCAACCCUGAUCCAGCCAUGCCGCGUGCGGGAAGAAGGCCUUCGGGUUGUAAACCGCUUUUGUCAGGGACGAAAAGGUGCGGGUUAAGAGCUAGCACUGAUGACGGUACCUGAAGAAUAAGCACCGGCUAACUACGUGCCAGCAGCCGCGGUAAUACGUAGGGUGCGAGCGUUAAUCGGAAUUACUGGGCGUAAAGCGUGCGCAGGCGGUUGGGUAAGACAGAUGUGAAAUCCCCGGGCUUAACCUGGGAACUGCAUUUGUGACUGUCCGACUGGAGUAUGUCAGAGGGGGGUGGAAUUCCAAGUGUAGCAGUGAAAUGCGUAGAUAUUUGGAAGAACACCGAUGGCGAAGGCAGCCCCCUGGGGCAAAACUGACGCUCAUGCACGAAAGCGUGGGGAGCAAACAGGAUUAGAUACCCUGGUAGUCCACGCCCUAAACGAUGUCUACUAGUUGUUGGACCGGAUGGUUUAGUAACACAGCUAACGCGAGAAGUAGACCGCCUGGGGAGUACGGUCGCAAGAUUAAAACUCAAAGGAAUUGACGGGGACCCGCACAAGCGGUGGAGCAUGUGGUUUAAUU
rnacentral:rRNA from 1 species